rnacentral:rRNA from 1 species
AACGAACGCUGGCGGCGUGCUUAACACAUGCAAGUCGAACGGGAUUAGGGGCUUGCUCCUAAUCUAGUGGCGCACGGGUGAGUAACGCGUGGAUAAUCUGCCUGAUGAUCUGGGAUAACAUUUCGAAAGGGGUGCUAAUACCGGAUAAGCCCACGAGGACUUCGGUUUUUGCGGGAAAAGAGGGGGACCUUCGGGCCUCUUGUCAUCAGAUGAGUCCGCGUACCAUUAGCUAGUUGGUGGGGUAAAGGCCUACCAAUGCGACGAUGGUUAGCUGGUCUGAGAGGAUGAUCAGCCACACUGGAACUGAGACACGGUCCAGACUCCUACGGGAGGCAGCAGUGGGGAAUUUUGCGCAAUGGGGGAAACCCUGACGCAGCAACGCCGCGUGAGUGAUGAAGGCCUUCGGGUCGUAAAGCUCUGUCUAGAGGAAAGAAGUGUGGGGCGGCUAAUAACCGUUUCACUUGACGGUACCUCUGAAGGAAGCACCGGCUAACUCCGUGCCAGCAGCCGCGGUAAUACGGAGGGUGCGAGCGUUGUUCGGAAUUAUUGGGCGUAAAGCGCGUGUAGGCGGUUUCUUAAGUCUGAUGUGAAAGCCCCGGGCCUAACCUGGGAAGUGCAUUGGAUACUGGGAGACUUGAGUACGGGAGAGGGUAGUGGAAUUCCUAGUGUAGGAGUGAAAUCCGUAGAUAUUAGGAGGAACACCGGUGGCGAAGGCGGCUGCCUGGACCGAUACUGACGCUGAGACGCGAAAGCGUGGGUAGCAAACAGGAUUAGAUACCCUGGUAGUCCACGCCGUAAACGAUGAGUACUAGGUGUUGCGGGUAUUGACCCCUGCAGUGCCGCAGCUAACGCAUUAAGUACUCCGCCUGGGAAGUACGGUCGCAAGACUA